rnacentral:rRNA from 1 species
UGGGGAAUAUUGGGCAAUGGGCGAAAGCCUGACCCAGCAACGCCGCGUGAAGGAAGAAGGCUUUCGGGUUGUAAACUUCUUUUCUGAGGGACGAUAGUGACGGUACCUCAGGAAUAAGCCACGGCUAACUACGUGCCAGCAGCCGCGGUAAUACGUAGGUGGCAAGCGUUAUCCGGAUUUACUGGGUGUAAAGGGCGUGUAGGCGGGAUUGCAAGUCAGAUGUGAAAACUAUGGGCCCAACCCAUAGCCUGCAUUUGAAACUGUAGUUCUUGAGUGUUGGAGAGGCAGGCGGAAUUCCGUGUGUAGCGGUGAAAUGCGUAGAUAUACGGAGGAACACCAGUGGCGAAGGCGGCCUGCUGGACAAUAACUGACGCUGAGGCGCGAAAGCAUGGGUAGCGAACAGGAUUAGAUACC